UGGAUUUCAUAUGUUUUUUCAGGCGAUUUAUUUGUUAGAUCUUAUGGAUAUUUAGGUAUGAAUUGGCAGAAGAUUGUGCAGACGAUGAUGAAGCAAAGUAGCUGAUUUAUAAUAAGUGACUUUUUCUUUGUUCUUUAUUGUACUAUAGAUUCGAAUUUAUCAUUAUAAUUUUUUUUUAAUUUUUUUGUGCAGUUAUAUGGUCGGGUUUUUUACGAAGUGUAUGAAAAUCAUUUGAAUGCUGAGAACCUAUUAUAUUCGCGAAGUCCAGGCAAUGAUGCUCUACAUGAUACAAGAGAUCGACACCUUCAUCCAUAUGGAGUGCUAAUAUACAGAUUUUCUGGGAUUUUUUGUUUUUGAAUGGAAGUUAGCAUGAGGUUUUCACAUGACAUGGAUGAUGAGUAGAGAAACUCAUCUAGAGAAUGAACCUACCAAGACAACGCCUGAUGUUACUUUAAAGGAGCUGAGAUCAGCAUGUCACAACAGUCUCACAAGCAAAUGCCCAAACUGUAUACAUCACAGUAGGCAAGUUUCAAUCUUUUUAGCUUCCAAUUAAUAUUUCGUGCUGAUAUUUGAUUGCAUUGUGUUUGGGUGUUUGGUUUCGGGAUUUCUCAAGUUGAAUUGCAACGUGGGUAAUGAGAAAAAAAAUGGAUUUGGUCUCUGGUUACAAGGUGACUUCACCUCUCACUCUCUCUAAAACUCAAUUUUGAAGUUGUUGUCCAUAUAUAUAUAUAUUUUUUUGGAUCACCAUCACCAUGGGUCAUCUGAAUAUCAGCCUUUUAUUUUGUC